UGAGUUCUACCUGUUUCUCCUGUGCUUGCCUAAGGAAUCAAACCAGUAGCAGAGCACCUCGGUAGGAGAGUUUAUGUGAGUAUACAUGCUCCUGUCUUUAAUGCUUUUACUAUACUUUGUAAUUUGUAAUUUUGAUCCUGUACAAGUGUUUCUAGCCACUCGUAUGUAUUCCUUGUAGGUCCAUUCCGUCGUUGAUACUGACACACUGAAUUUAUUUACUCGAAGAAUGUGUUACAUUGGAAAAUUGACUACUCUAGGUUUUCCAUACCUUCAUAACCACCACCUGAGGAAGACUUACACCAGGGGUCCCCAAACUAAGGCCCGGGGGCCGGAUGCGUCCCUCCAAGGUUGUGCUAACAAACAUUUGGUAUAGUGCUACAGUUGUUUCUGAGACAUCCUCUGCCAGUGGCUCCCCCCCCCCCCCCCGCGCCCAAGGUAGGCAUUUGGCGCAUGUAAUUUUUCUCUUAGCAUGGGAGACCCUACCAGGAGCACUGCUACCAUCAGGAACACACAAUCCACAAAAAGGUGAUGCUAUUGAUGGAAAAGAUGCUGCAACAGUCUUCUCAUCUCACGUCUGCCUUUUUAUUCAGAGAUUAGAAAGUACAACCUUUUGCUGCCACCUGGUGGGCAACAUGUUUUCCACAGGUUUUUGUACCAGAUGUUUUUAAAAGUUGACAUAAGCAGAAAAGAGUUUGUGGAAUAGAGUGAUAUUGGACUUGUGUGGACUGAAUUCCACUCUUCAUCAGAUUUAGUGUCAAUGAAUCCAUGGCUUGCAAAUUCUUCAGUUAAGUGGUGCAUGUGCUACACCGCAACUGGACCAUUCAGGCAUCAUAAAAAUCAGAGACAGGAGAUGGGCUAUCUAAUGAUUCUGAGAACUGGCUUUUCACAAGGUUUGCAAAAUUCCUAGGGUCCCAAUGUAGUCCUUCUGGGGCACAGACAAAGGGGAAAAGAACAUACAUUACUAGAUAAAAAAAUUACUAGAUAAGCUUUGGUGUCUCAGGCAUGUUCUGUUUUAAGGCACCUUGUGGUGGGAUACAAGAAUAAAAUUGUUGUUGUUAUUGUUAUUGUUAUUGUUACUAUUAUUUUUAAAAAGAAAUUGUUCUGGCAAAGUAAAAACUUGGAGAGCAAAAGGUAAUGCUUUCCCUAACAAGGGUACUUUUGGCUCCUCCCACAAUUUCCCCUCCCACAAUUGAGGAAACGUUUCAUUUUAAACCUAGGAGCAACAAAUGCCAUCACAUUACAGAAUAGUCCAGGAGCUGCGGUGGUGCAAUGGGUUAAACCCUUUUGCCAAUUGGGCUGUUGUCCAGAAGGUUGCCGGUUUGAAUCCACAAGAUGGGGUGAGCUCCCAUCUGUCAGCCCAUUUUCCCCAAAAGAUGUUCCAAUAAGUGCUAGAUCCUGCUGGGAUUCUGAUCUGGUAAGGGAGCUUCUUCCUCCAUCCAUGUUUGCUCUUUGGGUGAGGAGGAAGCUCCCAAGAGAUGUUCCAGUAAGUCCAAGACCCCGGGGUUUCAACUGAAAUCCCAAUGGGAAGGAAAUAUUGAAGCACCUUGCCAUGCUCUGUGACCACAGGGUGGACUGUAGCCCCGUUCUAUGGAUUUUGUGAACAAACACUUUUGCACUCAAAAGGCAAGCUACAUAAUUAAUGAGACAUUAAAUUGGCUUUCAUGAUAAUUCUGUCUUCUUCCCUUAAAGAACUGAACCACCCAAGGACACACUGAGGCUUGGAUAAUUUUCUUGGAUGGAUGGUUAUACAUAUGCCCAAGAAAGUCCCAGUCCACUUUCAUUGUCAAUUAUGCCUUUGACCCUUGGCAUUUGAGAAGAGCUAUAUCAUGUGAUAUGUGCAGAGGCGGUCCAACCACCAGGCGGGGGAAGCAUUUGCCUGUGGUGCCAUUGUCCCGGGGUGCUGUGCAGGCCCCGGGGGGAUGGCGCCACCCCCCUGCCUCCUUCUCCUUUCAGCCUUUU
ensembl:lncRNA